rfam:Verticillium albo-atrum VaMs.102 supercont1.1 genomic scaffold, whole genome shotgun sequence.
AUCUGAGUGCAAGGGCUUUACGCGUAUCAGUGAGGAUUCGUCCGAGAUCGUGUUUUUGCUAGUUGAAAACUAUAACUAAGACCACUCCUAGUUGGCUUCGGCUGGCUAGGGAAUUUUUGUAAUCCUUCUUCUUCCUCGAUGG